rnacentral:rRNA from 1 species
CCUACGGGUGGCAGCAGUGGGGAAUAUUGCACAAUGGGGGAAACCCUGAUGCAGCGACGCCGCGUGAGUGAAGAAGUACUUCGUUAUGUAAAGCUCUAUCAGCAGGGAAGAAAAUGACGGUACCUGAGUGAGAAGCCCCGGCUAACUACGUGCCAGCAGCAGCGGUAAUACGUAGGGGGCAAGCGUUAUCCGGAUUUACUGGGUGUAAAGGGAGCGCAGACGGCAGUGCAAGUCUGGAGUGAAAGGCGGGGGCUCAACCCCCGGACUGCUGUGGAAACUGGACGGCUGGAGUGCAGGAGAGGGCAGUGGAAUUCCUAGUGUAGCGGUGAAAUGCGUAGAUAUAAGGAGGAACACCAGUGGCGAAGGCGGCUGACUGGACUGUAACUGACGCUGAGGCUCGAAAGCGUGGGGAGCAAACAGGAUUAGAUACCCGGGUAGUC